UACCUAAGCAAAGCAAAACCUACGAUUCUCUCACUUACUCAGUAGCACCAGCCACCAACACUAAACCCUUGCAAAGCCCUAAAACAGCGUUCCUCGUCUCUCAGAUUGGAUUGCAAUGGCUUGGCGUUCUGGUUCUCUCUCUCGUUCCUUAGUAUCCACAGCUAGGGCUUCUCUCCGGCCGGCGGCGCCGUCAGCACUUCCCCGCAUCCGUCCGCCACCGGUGACUGCCCCUCGCAUCCAGUCCCGCCGCUUUUCCAUGCCGGCUACCAGGAAUCUGGGGCAAUUGGGCUGCACACAAUCACUUUUACCUCUACAAAGUACAAUGGCUAUUACCUGCAUGACGUCACACAUUGUUGUCAGUGCUCGUGCCUGUUGCGAGCUGUCCCAUGGGAUGAAUGGAAAGGAUGGGUGAUGCGCCAGGACAUUGAUCAUCUUCCAAUGGCGAGAGAAGAAUGCUGCAUAGUACGUGAGGAAGCUGUUGGAUUUUCCCAGUUGGCUGUUUUGGAUACGAGUGACCAAUAAUCAGGAAUAGUGUUUUCUGCUAAGUAACAGUUGUAGGAAUGUCGAAUUAGACUCAUCGGUCAUGUUCAUCAUUUGUGCUACUUAUUCAACAGAGAAAACUAUUUAUCUUCCCUAACUCGGAACAACUUUCGUGAUUAGUUCUUGAUUCUUCUUGCAUCUGGCAUUGUUUAAAUGCUGUACAUUUGUGGUCUUUCUUAAAAAUAUUUGCGAAAUAAUGUCUGUGGUUUGUCACUUAUCAAUCAAUGCACUAAAUUAGCCCAUGAAUGGGUUUUUCUGGUC